CACGUAGUUAGCCGGGGCUUCUUAGUCAGGUACCGUCAUUUUCUUCCCUGCUGAUAGAAAUUUACAUACCGAAAUACUUCUUCCUUCACGCGGCGUCGCUGCAUCAGGGUUUCCCCCAUUGUGCAAUAUUCCCCACUGCUGCCUCCCGUAGGAGUUUGGGCCGUGUCUCAGUCCCAAUGUGGCCGUUCACCCUCUCAGGCCGGCUACUGAUCGUUGGUUUGGUGGGCCGUUACCCCGCCAACUGCCUAAUCAGACGCGGAUCCAUCUCACACCACCUCAGUUUUUCACACUGUCCCAUGCGAGACUGUGCGCUUAUGCGGUAUUAGCAGUCAUUUCUAACUGUUAUCCCCCUGUGUGAGGCAGGUUAUCCACGCGUUACUCACCCGUCGCCACUCAGUCACAAAAGCUUCAAACCGAAGUAAUCUGCUCUCUGUGCUUCGUUCGACUUGCAUGUGUUAAGCACGCCGCCAGCGUUCAUCCUGACGCCAGGAUCGAAA
rnacentral:rRNA from 1 species